rnacentral:rRNA from 1 species
CUACGGGGGGCAGCAGUGGGGAAUAUUGCACAAUGGGCGCAAGCCUGAUGCAGCCAUGCCGCGUGUAUGAAGAAGGCCUUCGGGUUGUAAAGUACUUUCAGCGGGGAGGAAGGGAGUAAAGUUAAUACCUUUGCUCAUUGACGUUACCCGCAGAAGAAGCACCGGCUAACUCCGUGCCAGCAGCCGCGAGUAAUACGGAGGGUGCAAGCGUUAAUCGGAAUUACUGGGCGUAAAGCGCACGCAGGCGGUUUGUUAAGUCAGAUGUGAAAUCCCCGGGCUCAACCUGGGAACUGCAUCUGAUACUGGCAAGCUUGAGUCUCGUAGAGGGGGGUAGAAUUCCAGGUGUAGCGGUGAAAUGCGUAGAGAUCUGGAGGAAUACCGGUGGCGAAGGCGGCCCCCUGGACGAAGACUGACGCUCAGGUGCGAAAGCGUGGGGAGCAAACAGGAUUAGAUACCCCGGUAGUC